UCCUCAUUGUACAUGCUGUGUGUAUCUAUUUCUCUUACACAGCGCAUGCAAUGUGGAUA
rnacentral:pre_miRNA from 2 species